CAACAAUGACAAAUGAUAAUGAAAAAGUAACCUCGUCGAUACUGUUUCAUCAGAAACACAAUGAUCCUUAUUUUCAGGUGAUUCUACACUAAUGAAAACAUACCUAUGAAUAUUAUAUUCCAUUUCUGACUAUAAGAGCCUCCUAAACGUUACACACUGGACCUUUAAGAUUACGUUAGCUUUUCAUGCAGUAACUUUACCUCGACUAUCAAGCUAGCAUUAGAAAAACCAACCAAACCAAUGAAGGCAACAACAAGUACUAACCAAUCAGAGGUAUUGAAGGCGGCUCCUGAAAGUUCUCAGCGGUCAGCUUAUCUGGGACAGUCUGCACACACAGAGGAGCUCUUCAGUUUGGUCUGCUCAAGGUCUCUCUCCUCUCCACAGGGCAUGUCUCAGAGCACAGAGGCAGCCUUGUUUUUUACUGAAGGACACUAACCUCUCUGCAAAAAAUGAUUGUCUCCCUCUCACUUCUCGAGCCUUCUCAUUGUGGAUUAGGGUCAUAACCUCUUGUUGUUUCUUGUUUCUUUUGGAAGGAGAUGGAUUUCAGGACAAUAAUCUGUAAAUGCUUGGUCUUGGUGUUAGUAUAGAGUUUGGUUGGGGGAACAGCUAGAAAGCCUUGGGCAGAAGAAGUAGAGUAUGGCUUAGUCAAACAAUAUGUGCUUGAUAGGGAUGAGCGAGUACACUAUUAUCUGUAUCUGUUAUAAACUAACUAAAAUAAAUUAUCUAUAAUUGUAUCCAUAUUUGGAAUAGGCGGGGCUUAAAUGAGACAUGGAUUGUACUUAAAGCUGCAGUAAGUAACUUUUAUAAAAAUAACUUUUUGUCAUAUUUGCCGAAACUUUCACUAUAUCCUGACAGUAGUACAUGAGACAGAUAAUCUGUGAAACAAUCAGGUUCCUCUGACUCCUCCUAGUGCUCCUAAUGGCAUUUGUAAGAAUCCACCGGGCCUGAACAAAAACAACCAAUCAGAGCCGAGAAAGAUAUAAAGACGCUUUGGGUUGGAGGGUUGAACAUAGUUGAUUGUUGAGUCUCAUUCCCAGAGUCCCAAUGCAUCAGUAUUUCACACCCCUGGAAUGAGACUCAACAAUCAACUAUCUUUCUUGGCUCUGAUUGGUUGUUUUAGUUCAGGCCUGGUGUAUUCUUGCAAAUGCCAUCAGGGGCACUAGAACGAGUUAGAAGAACCAAAUUUUGUCUGUCUCAUGUACUACUGUCAGGAUAUAGUGAAAGUUUCAGCAAAUAUGACAAAUAUUAUUGAUUUUUUUAUGUAGCUUUAAACCGUAUGAAUGAUCAUUUCCACAUUACUCUUAGUCAUUUGAUACAUUGUUAACAUAAAAAAUAUAGAUUAGCACAGCUUUAAAGGUUAGGCUUCUUUAAACCUGUAUUGAUAGAUUUUUGGCUGCUUG
rnacentral:lncRNA from 1 species